GACGAACGCUGGCGGCGUGCUUAACACAUGCAAGUCGAACGGAAAGGCCCUGCUUUUGUGGGGUGCUCGAGUGGCGAACGGGUGAGUAACACGUGAGUAACCUGCCCUUGACUUUGGGAUAACUUCAGGAAACUGGGGCUAAUACCGGAUAGGAGCUCCUGCUGCAUGGUGGGGGUUGGAAAGUUUCGGCGGUUGGGGAUGGACUCGCGGCUUAUCAGCUUGUUGGUGGGGUAGUGGCUUACCAAGGCUUUGACGGGUAGCCGGCCUGAGAGGGUGACCGGCCACAUUGGGACUUCGGUACGGCCCAGUCUCCUACGGGAGGCAGCAGUGGGGAAUAUUGCACAAUGGGCGGGAGCCUGAUGCAGCAACGCCGCGUGCGGGAUGACGGCCUUCGGGUUGUAAACCGCUUUCGCCUGUGACGAAGCGUGAGUGACGGUAAUGGGUAAAGAAGCACCGGCUAACUACGUG
rnacentral:rRNA from 1 species